UUGAUGUUUUUCGCUGCAUUUUUCGGGAUUGUUUGGUUCGUUCAUGGUUUCCCCUUUCUUAUGAGUUUCUUCUAUCUCAUUUCUUUCCGUUUCUGUUUUUGAUUUUGUAUGUUGAUCUGAAUUUUCUAUAAUUUUUUUUUAGAUUUCAUGUUUUUUUUAAUAAUAAGCAGAAACUAUACAUUACCAAAAGUUCAGACUAAAAUCCUAAUAUGUCAGAACACAAGAGCAACAUCAUAGCAAAAGGUAUGCUGCUUUCAGACAAACUAUAACUAACAAAAAGAGGCGAAACAGGAAACGAAGCAUCUUCACAUUUUGGUAACAGCUGAUCCUAGUAUUUAAUUAGCCAGAAAAACAAAAAAGAGAGAAAAGCUUCAAGCCUCCUGUAAAGCAGAGUAAAUUCUACCAUCAACUUCAAUCAAUUAUGUUUAACUUCAAAUCUUGCUGAUUAAAGAAUUGAACACAUUGGCUUGAAAGAACUUGAACCCCAUCAGCAGCAACAACACUUUCAUUCAAUACCUCGGCUGGACCAACUUUCUCUUCAAUAGACUGCUCCUUGUUAUUCUUUCGACCUUUUGAAUCGUCCUCAUUGUCAGAUUCAUCAGAGUCUGACUCUGAUGUCUCGGUAGAAUAGUCAGAGCCUUCAUUCUCCUGUGGUGCCAUUGUCUCUUCUGCUGUUAAAUCAACCGUCAGAAUUUCAUCAUUCAAAUCAUUUGGUGUGGUACCAGCAAGUCGAGUUAAAAUGAGAUAAUGCGCUACUGAUUUGAAUCCCGUUGCAACAAUCUUUGAGUGUGGAACAUUAAUUGGUUGCCAUCCCUUUGAACGACGACAGCGGCUGCAGUUACAUAUAUCUCGACAAGCUGGACACAGCCAUGUUGGAUUUUCGACAGCUCCUGAACAUUUUCUCCAUACCUUGUGUACAAACAAACUCCACAAAGAUGCCCCUGAGCAGACCUACAUUUGCCGCAAUAGAACAACAAUUAUGGCAAAAGAUUUUAUAGCUCUUAUGGAUCAUUUGGGUUGGAAGAAAGCUCAUGUGUGUGGACAUUCAAUGGGUGGUAUGAUAGCUUGCAAGGUGGCAGCUUUAGUACCUGAUCGAGUAAAAUCAUUAAUUAGCUUUGCUUAAUGUAACUGGAGGAGGGUUUCAAUGUCUUCCAAAGGUAUGCAUCAUGUCAAUUCCACCUAAAAAUCAUGUGUUAUCCUCAUGAUCGGUAGUGCGCUUAUUGAAUUGCUAAGCUGAGCUUAGGUCUGUACUAGGAUGAUUAGUGAGCUGCUGAAAUGAGGAAAGACUAGAGACUGAAAGAGUCAAAUUAGUGAAGUCCUUUUGAUCUUGAGAAUACAGAAAGUGUAUAUGCCAAUAGUUUUGGCCUUUGGGUAUUGUACUCCAGUUUUCCAUAAUAAGCUUUAGGUUUUUUUUUAAUCAUACUUUGCUCACCUAUCUGAUUUUUUUAUACAACAUGUUUAUUUCU